UACGUAGGGUGCGAGCGUUGUCCGGAAUUAUUGGGCGUAAAGAGCUCGUAGGCGGUGUGUCGCGUCGGUCGUGAAAACUUGGGGCUUAACCCUGAGCUUGCGGUCGAUACGGGCAUCACUGGAGUUCGGCAGGGGAGACUGGAAUUCCUGGUGUAGCGGUGGAAUGCGCAGAUAUCAGGAGGAACACCGGUGGCGAAGGCGGGUCUCUGGGCAGUAACUGACGCUGAGGAGCGAAAGCGUGGGGAGCGAACAGG
rnacentral:rRNA from 1 species